UUUUGUUAAAAACAUCUUGCUGAUAGACCCUAUUUUAUUAAUGAUGAGAUUCAAUGAACCCCUGCAGGGAUUGUAACAGGAGUAGGAUCUGUUUGAUACUUGCUACUCCCAGGUAAAACAAAACAGCAAGGACAUCAGCACAUAACUGAAGUUUGUCCAGUGGGAUUCCCACAUUGAAUCCAGAAGGAGUGAUGCAAAGAUGCAGAAACCAUCAAGCUAUCUACUGAGACAGUGAUGAUGUCAGUAAUUCAGGAGAAGAGAAUGUCUGGUGGUGGCACUGUCCUUAGUUUCUAUUUAGGCUCUUCCUAUAACAGUUCUUCACCAAGUUCUGGCAGCAUUCUAAUCAGACUAUUCCUUCAGUGGUCCUUGGCUGAUUCAUCUGCUGCCAGCCUCCUUUGGCUCCUGUCUGAUUUCUGAGCCUGAUUUUUAACUUUCCCAAAUAACUUUGUAUAUAGAUACUGUUACUCUUUCAGUAAAUUCCAUUCUAUUUAAUCUACCUAGAAUUGGUUACUAAUGCUGGCAAAUAGGAAUUCUGACUUGUACAGAAACUGGUAAUGGGGAUUCGGUUACACACAACAGACUUUCAGGGAAAUCAGGAGAAUCUGGGUAUGCAGACUCAUUGUGUUUGAAGAUAAUAAAAACCAAUUAAUAUUCAAAGAUGAGACUCUGGAAACCCACAGCUUAUAGUAGUAAAAUAGCUAAUGAAAUUAAUGC
rnacentral:lncRNA from 10 species